rnacentral:rRNA from 1 species
AUUGAACGCUGGCGGCAUGCCUAACACAUGCAAGUCGAACGGCAGCACAGCCGUAGCAAUACGGUGGGUGGCGAGUGGCGGACGGGUGAGGAAUGCAUCGGAAUCUGCCCGGUCGUGGGUGAUAACGCAUCGAAAGGUGCGCUAAUACCGCAUGAGAUCGAGAGAUGAAAGCGGGGGACCGCAAGGCCUCGCGCGCUAGGAUGAGCCGAUGCCGGAUUAGCUAGUUGGCGGGGUAAAGGCCCACCAAGGCGACGAUCCGUAGCUGGUCUGAGAGGAGGAUCAGCCACACUGGGACUGAGACACGGCCCAGACUCCUACGGGAGGCAGCAGUGGGGAAUAUUGGACAAUGGGCGCAAGCCUGAUCCAGCAAUGCCGCGUGUGUGAAGAAGGCCUUCGGGUUGUAAAGCACUUUUAUCGGGAGCGAAAAGCGGACGGUGAAUACCCGUCCGUGCUGACGGUACCCGAGGAAUAAGCACCGGCUAACUUCGUGCCAGCCGCCGCCGUAAUAC